rnacentral:rRNA from 1 species
UUAAGCGACUAAGCGUACACGGUGGAUGCCCUGGCAGUCAGAGGCGAUGAAGGACGUGCUAAUCUGCGAAAAGCGUCGGUAAGGUGAUAUGAACCGUUAUAACCGGCGAUGUCCGAAUGGGGAAACCCAGUGCAAUUCGUUGCACUAUCGUUAACUGAAUACAUAGGUUAACGAGGCGAACCGGGGGAACUGAAACAUCUAAGUACCCCGAGGAAAAGAAAUCAACCGAGAUUCCCCCAGUAGCGGCGAGCGAACGGGGAGCAGCCCAGAGCCUGAAUCAGUGUGUGUGUUAGUGGAAGCGUCUGGAAAGGCGCGCGAUACAGGGUGACAGCCCCGUACACAAAAAUGCACAUGCUGUGAGCUCGAUGAGUAGGGCGGGACACGUGGUAUCCUGUCUGAAUAUGGGGGGACCAUCCUCCAAGGCUAAAUACUCCUGACUGACCGAUAGUGAACCAGUACCGUGAGGGAAAGGCGAAAAGAACCCCGGCGAGGGGAGUGAAAAAGAACCUGAAACCGUGUACGUACAAGCAGUGGGAGCACCUUCGGGUGUGACUGCGUACCUUUUGUAUAAUGGGUCAGCGACUUAUAUUCUGUAGCAAGGUUAACCGUAUAGGGGAGCCGCAGGGAAACCGAGUCUUAACUGGGCGUUAAGUUGCAGGGUAUAGACCCGAAACCCGGUGAUCUAGCCAUGGGCAGGUUGAAGGUUGGGUAACACUAACUGGAGGACCGAACCGACUAAUGUUGAAAAAUUAGCGGAUGACUUGUGGCUGGGGGUGAAAGGCCAAUCAAACCGGGAGAUAGCUGGUUCUCCCCGAAAGCUAUUUAGGUAGCGCCUCGUGAACUCAUCUUCGGGGGUAGAGCACUGUUUCGGCUAGGGGGUCAUCCCGACUUACCAACCCGAUGCAAACUACGAAUACCGAAGAAUGUUAUCACGGGAGACACACGGCGGGUGCUAACGUCCGUCGUGAAGAGGGAAACAACCCAGACCGCCAGCUAAGGUCCCAAAGUCAUGGUUAAGUGGGAAACGAUGUGGGAAGGCACAGACAGCCAGGAUGUUGGCUUAGAAGCAGCCAUCAUUUAAAGAAAGCGUAAUAGCUCACUGGUCGAGUCGGCCUGCGCGGAAGAUGUAACGGGGCUAAACCAUGCACCGAAGCUGCGGCAGCGACACUAUGUGUUGUUGGGUAGGGGAGCGUUCUGUAAGCCUGCGAAGGUGUGCUGUGAGGCAUGCUGGAGGUAUCAGAAGUGCGAAUGCUGACAUAAGUAACGAUAAAGCGGGUGAAAAGCCCGCUCGCCGGAAGACCAAGGGUUCCUGUCCAACGUUAAUCGGGGCAGGGUGAGUCGACCCCUAAGGCGAGGCCGAAAGGCGUAGUCGAUGGGAAACAGGUUAAUAUUCCUGUACUUGGUGUUACUGCGAAGGGGGGACGGAGAAGGCUAUGUUAGCCGGGCGACGGUUGUCCCGGUUUAAGCAUGUAGGCUGGUUGUCCAGGCAAAUCCGGAUAAUCAAGGCUGAGGUGUGAUGACGAGGCACUACGGUGCUGAAGUAACAAAUGCCCUGCUUCCAGGAAAAGCCUCUAAGCAUCAGGUAACAUCAAAUCGUACCCCAAACCGACACAGGUGGUCAGGUAGAGAAUACCAAGGCGCUUGAGAGAACUCGGGUGAAGGAACUAGGCAAAAUGGUGCCGUAACUUCGGGAGAAGGCACGCUGGUGUGUAGGUGAAGCCCCUGCGGGUGGAGCUGAGACCAGUCGAAGAUACCAGCUGGCUGCAACUGUUUAUUAAAAACACAGCACUGUGCAAACACGAAAGUGGACGUAUACGGUGUGACGCCUGCCCGGUGCCGGAAGGUUAAUUGAUGGGGUUAUCCGUAAGGAGAAGCUCUUGAUCGAAGCCCCGGUAAACGGCGGCCGUAACUAUAACGGUCCUAAGGUAGCGAAAUUCCUUGUCGGGUAAGUUCCGACCUG